AGCAAAACAUCAAAACGCGACUCACGCUGGAGAAGCCGUCGCACCCGAGAGCACCGCCGCUGAUAAGUCUCGGUUUUUCGUAAUUUUUUGGCCUACCGAGGGCCCUAAGGUUGUUUUAUCAUAGGGACCAAUGCAAGUUUGGCCGAAUUCGGCUGAAAACUGCCAACCCGAGGCGGAUCGCCACCGCAUAUGGCAGCGCCGUC
rnacentral:lncRNA from 1 species